CCUGAACGCUGGCGGCGUGGCUAAGACAUGCAAGUCGUACGGUGUAGCAAUACACAGUGGCGAACGGGUGAGUAAUGAAUCGCUAAUGUACCCCGGACUCUGGGAUAGCCGGCCGAAAGGCCGGGUAAUACCAGAUGAUAUAUCUUUAUCGCAUGAUAGAGAUCUCAAAGGUCCGCCGGUCUGGGAGCAGGCGAUUUUGUAUCAGCUAGUUGGUGAGGUAACGGCUCACCAAGGCGAUGACGCAUAGCCGGACUGAGGAGGUUGGCCGGCCACAUUGGGACUGAGACACUGCCCAGACUCCGUACGGGGGCGUGCAGUAACGAAUCUUCCGCAAUGCACGAAAGUAGUGACGGAGCGACGCCGCGUGGGACGAA
rnacentral:rRNA from 1 species